AGAUAAGCAAAAUUGACAAUUUGGCUUUGAAGAAGAAUAGUUGAAUGAGCGGAGUCGGAAAGAUAUCUAGCCGUUGUAAAACGGGGUGGAAGAAUUUCCCUAUUUUCAAAUUUUUGAAGAAAGCGUCGAAGUUCACUUUCUUGUUCAAAUUUUAGAAAAGAAACAUCUUGAUAGCAAAAUACAUCUUGAGGGACAUUUGAAGAAGAAGCAACGUUCUUUCCGGCACGAGAUCGCUUGGUAUUUCUAUUAGCCAUGUGAAUAAUAACAAGAAGCUAAAGAGAAU
rnacentral:lncRNA from 1 species